rnacentral:rRNA from 1 species
CCUACGGGAGGCAGCAGUAAGGAAUAUUGCUCAAUGGGGGAAACCCUGAAGCAGCAACGCCGCGUGAAGGAUGAAGGUUUUCGGAUUUUAAACUCCUUUUGUUAGAGGAGAUAAUGACGGUAUCUAACGAAUAAGCACCGGCUAACUCCGUGCCAGCAGCCGCGGUAAUACGGAGGGUGCAAGCGUUACUCGGAAUCACUGGGCGUAAAGAGCGCGUAGGCGGGAUAGCAAGUCAGAUGUGAAAUCCUAUGGCUUAACCAUAGAACUGCCUUUGAAACUGUUAUUCUAGAGUAGGGGAGAGGUAGGGGGAAUGCUUGGUGUAGGGGUAAAAUCCGUAGAGAUCAAGAGGAAUACCGAUUGCGAAGGCGACCUGCUAGAACAUAACUGACGCUGAUGCGCGAAAGCGUGGGGAGCAAACAGGAUUAGAUACCCCAGUAGUC